rnacentral:rRNA from 1 species
GAUCAUGGCUCAGAACGAACGCUGGCGGCAUGCCUAAUACAUGCAAGUCGAACGGAGAUAGCAAUAUCUUAGUGGCGAACGGGUGCGUAACACGUGAGCAACCUGCCUUAUACAUCGGAAUAACAGCUGGAAACGGCUGCUAAUACCGGAUAAGACCACACCAAGGCAUCUUGGAGAGGUCAAAGCGAAUUAGCGGUAUAAGAUGGGCUCGCGUCCAAUUAGCUAGUUGGUGGGGUAACGGCCCACCAAGGCAACGAUUGGUAGCCGACUUGAGAGAGUGAUCGGCCACACUGGAACUGAGACACGGUCCAGACUCCUACGGGAGGCAGCAGUAGGGAAUAUUGGGCAAUGGAGGAAACUUCCUUACCCAGCAAUGCCGCGUGAAUGAUGAAGGUCUUAUGGAUUGUAAAGUUCUUUAAUUGGGGACGAAAGAAAUGACGGUACCCAAAGAAUAAGCCCCGGCUAACUAUGUGCCAGCAGCCGC